AUUAUUAUUAUUAUUAUUAUUUUGGUUGCUUUAGCAAUCAAUCCACUCUGUCAUAAAUUAUUAGGAUGAUAAUCGGUGAUACCGGAAGUAUUUGGAUGAUGGACACGUGUACAAGGUUUAUGGUAUGGAAAUGAGAUGAUACAAGUACUUAGGGUAGCUAUAUGACUACUUCUAAGUACUUCAAUACGAUAUAUGGAAGGUUAUGACUGCGUCUAGGCGAUUUGGACAGCCGGAAAGAGAUUCGACUUGUUCCUUGCAAGACAACAAAAGUUAGGGGCCGAGGAGAUUAUUCUACUUGGCACUCCGAUGCUUUGGUAAAAAGAGUUGUAAGAAUGUUUUACCUUAGACAGUAAAUAACAAUAUAUACUAUAAAAAAAAGACCAGUAACAAGCAAACACGUGGAGGUCUGUGGCUAAUGGGACUCUGUCAUUCAAAUAUAUUUCUACAUAAGAUCAGUGCAUACCAUACUUAGGGCAAUGAUGAUCCUGAUACAUUUGAAACGGCAGUUAUAAGUAAUUAAGGAGUAUAUGUAUGUUAUAUUAGAUAAGUGGUCAAGCCGACCUGUUAACAAAUAGCAAAUAACUUAAAAUAUAAGUCGAAAAAAUGUUCGAGUCGUCUCAGGGUGGCACAUAUCCUUUGUUUACCUGUUAUCAGGUUGUAUAUUUUAAUCAUUCAAGGUUAGAACAACCAGACAGGGAGAUCGAGUGACCUUGGCAUCAUUCCGAGAUGUUGUAGUCGGCCUAUAAUGUAUUAUACUUAUAAUGUGAUUAUCUGGUUAUAAGGUCACCCGAGAAUAGUAUCAGGGUUCUUUCCCAAGCUGUAUGGGAAGUAAGGUUUAUAUGAAGACAUAUGGUGUAGAUCUAAGUAAUGGGACAGUUUAUAAAGUAUUGCUACCUAUACAUGGUACCUAGUGAUAUGUUUUAUACUUCUUUCUAUUUAAGGACACGAGAUAUCUAUCCAAGUAGACGGAUAAUUUAUAUUGUAUCACAUGAUAAGGAUCUAAUCUUGUGCUCUCUUCGUUUCUUCCAUUCUCCACUACUGUCUUUUGGUGAUAUUUUUUUGAAAGUGAGUCUUUGAUUAAUCCUUAAACAUGAUAUGGGUUUGCCUUGUAGCAUAUCUUAUGAUAUGGUGUUUUCUUUGAGGUGAUGAACUAUAAAUGUUAAGGAUCAUUGGUUGAUGAACUAUAAAUAUUGAGGACCUUUGAAAUUAAGUACAAUUAUACAUAAUGCAAAAUUAAAUUCUCUCUAGUUUUAUAUUAGUUUACUGCGUUUCAUAAAUGUUGAGGAUCAUGUUGCAACAAAAUUAGAGAACAAUUAUAUAAGAUACAAAAUGUUAUGUGGUUUGAUCUACAUUUAUGGGAGAGAAUUAGAAAUUUCAUUAUGGAAUAAUGGAGAUCAAAAUGAUGCUAAAUUGUCUUCAACCUCACAAUCCAAUGCCCCAUACAGUUAAAACAUAAAAAAGAAAAAAAAAUCUAUUUAAAAAUAAAAAUUUUACAAUCAAUUCAAUUAAUUUUUUAAAAAAAAUUAAUUCUCUUAUUUAAAAAUAUCAGCUUAAAUAUUUUUUGGCUUUAUUUAAAAUAAGUAAAGAUUAUAGGUUUUUUUUU
rnacentral:misc_RNA from 1 species